rnacentral:rRNA from 1 species
CUGGAGGAAGCCCCGGCUAAACUCCGUGCCAGCAGCCGCGGUAAUACGGGGGGGGCAAGCGUUGUUCGGAAUUACUGGGCGUAAAGGGCGCGCAGGCGGCUUCGGAAGUUAUGGGUGAAAGCCCCCGGCUCAACUGGGGAAUGGCCUGUAAAACCACGGAGCUGGAGUGCUGGAGAGGGAAGUGGAAUUCCCAGUGUAGCGGUGAAAUGCGUAGAUAUUGGGAGGAACACCAGUGGCGAAGGCGGCUUCCUGGACAGACACUGACGCUGAGGCGCGAAAGCCAGGGGAGCGAACGGGAUUAGAUACCCCGGUAGUCCUGGCUGUAAACGAUGAAUACUUGGUGUGGGGGGUAUAGAAGUCCCUCUGUGCCGAAGAGAACUCGAUAAGUAUUCCGCCUGGGGAGUACGGCCGCAAGGCUGAAACUCAAAGGAAUUGACGGGGGCCCGCACAAGCGGUGGAGCAUGUGGUUUAAUUCGACGCAACGCGAAGAACCUUACCGGGGUUUGAACUGUAUUGGCGACCGGUCGAGAUACCGGGUUUCCUUAGGGAACUGAUACAGAGGUGCUGCAUGGCUGUCGUCAGCUCGUGUCGUGAGAUGUUGGGUUAAGUCCCGCAACGAGCGCAACCCUUGUCUGUAGUUGCCAUCAGGUGAAGCUGGGCACUCUACGGAGACUGUCGGCGAAAAGCCGGAGGAAGGUGGGGAUGACGUCAAGUCCUCAUGGCCUUUAUGUCCCGGGCUACACACGUGCUACAAUGGAUGGAACAGAGGGCAGCGAACUCGCGAGGGUAAGCGAAUCCCAGAAAUCCAUUCUCAGUUCGGAUUGCAGUCUGCAACUCGACUGCAUGAAGUUGGAAUCGCUAGUAAUCGCGGAUCAGAACGCCGCGGUGAAUACGUUCCCGGGCCUUGUACACACCGCCCGUCACAUCACGAAAGUGGGCUGUACUAGAAGCCGCCGGCCUAACCAUUUAUUGGAGGGAGGCGUCGACGG